rnacentral:rRNA from 1 species
CGCGCAUUUGGCCCUUUCAAGGGGAGCGUAUCUGCACUUUAUUGUGUGGUGCGGGAUCCUUGACUUUUACUUUGAGGAAAUAGGAGUGUUCCAAGCAGGCUCUCGUCGUGCACAGCUCAGCAUGGAAUAAUAGCAUUGGACCUCGAUUCUAAGCUGUUGGUUGCCAGAAGCGAGGUAAUGAUGAAGAGGGAUAGUUGGGGGCAUUCGUAUUUAACUGUCAGAGGUGAAAUUCUUGGAUUUGUUAAAGUCGGACUACUGCGAAAGCAUCUGCCAUGGAUGUUUUCAUUGAUCAAGAACGAAAGUUAGGGGAUCGAAGACGAUCAGAUACCGUCCUAGUCUUAACUAUAAACCAUGCCGGCUAGAGAUCGGAGGUUGUUCGUUUUGUGACGCCUUCAGCAUCUUGAGAGAAAUCAAAGCCUUUGGGUUCCGGGGGGAGUAUGGUCGCAAGGCUGAAACUUAAAGGAAUUGACGGAAGGGCACCACCAGGAGUGG